AACUCCAUCAUAAAUUAAGAUAAAAGUCCAGAAGGAGAGCAUUCUGUCCCUCCUGGAGACGGUCAAUUUGGGAGGUCCAUUCACACAUGUGUUGCCACCACGGAACCACAGUCUGGGUGUGUCUUCUAGGCCAGUACACAUCACAACACCACGUUAACGCAUGUUGGAGGUAUCAGCAGUGUAACCAAUGCAACUCCUCGACAGUCCGCAGCCAUUGUCACCACAUUCGCCACACCUGCCUGGGGAUCCCAUUCUUCACUUAACUCAGCCAGGACAAGUGACAUGCACCUUAAAUUUGACAUGCACCUGACAAUGAAGAGACAUGUACCUUAAAUUUCACAGCAAUACCACCGCCUGACCCAACAACUACACAUUUGUCUACUCUGCCCACUCAAAGGACACCAGAACAGAACAUAAGACCAACCACACCACUACCACAGUCUCAGGAACAGGCUUUUUGGGACAGCUGGUCCACCCAGCACGCCAAUAACUUACAUUGUUUGCCUGGGCAAACCCAAUUUAUUGCUAGUCUGGCCCAUCACAUCCCAAGAUUAUGCUGAAGCAACACCAGACAAACCACAGAACUCACCAGAAUGGCUAACACCCUGGAAUUAAUCAGGGCAGAUUAUAAUAGGAUGCUGGACACAUACCAAGGAAUCGUGGAUGAGAAUCACAGGCUCCAUCAAGCCUACCUGCAGAUAUUAACUGCAACACAAAACACACCAGAGAGUAUGUUCCGAAUCACGGAAACCCACACGACAGCCACUAGAGACUUGAAUCUCACUCUAACUACCCUGACCCAGCAUCUCAGUCAUCAAUCUGAGCAAACAAGAACCAGUUCUACAGCCACAACCCCCUUAGUGUCACCUGUAAGCUCACCACCAAGACAUUCUGGCCGAACACGACCAGACACAAGUGGGAAAGGCCCAUCCAGAUCCAGAGGACGACCUGCAAAAUAAUUGAUCUAAAUCAUGUGUCUGAAAUGGACAUUGGUAAUUGUAUGCAAGUAGCAUUUUACAUGUUCUUCACAAAAUUAAGG